GAAUCAAAUGAAAGUUCUUCGGACAUGUCUACCGAUUGUGUUGUUGUACUUAGUAACUUAAGCUGUGUAUCCAUAUCCGAUGAAAGUUGUAUUUUAAUUUCUGAUGACGAUGCUGAGUUAGAUAAGUUGGAGAAAUCGCUGGCCGUUUUCAAAGACGCGUUGUGUCAUUUUUAUGAAAAUAACAAGAAAGUAAUUGAAAAUUUGACAGACUUAGCUGCAAAAAUUUGCGACACAAUAUCACUGGUUAAAUGUGUUGAUGAGUGUGUAGUGAAUGGACUACUGAAACUAUAUUUAAUGGAUU